rnacentral:sRNA from 1 species
CUGUUUCUAUUUGAGUUGGGCUAAUAUAAUGGAUGUGGGUAUCGAUUCCUCCAGCAGUUACAAUAUAACCUGCACCACCGUGUACUUCUGUUGAAGCUCCAAUAAUCAUAUUAGGGGUUACAUCAUCCAUCGUAUCAGGAUUUCCCGCACGUCCUACACCAACAAUUUUGCCAUCUUUAAUUCCAAUAUCGCCUUUGACAAUUCCCCAAUGAUCUAGGACAAUAGCACCUGUGAUAACCAUAUCAAGUACACCUUCAUGGCUCAAGUGAUUGGACGAUUGCAUCAUUCCAUCGCGUACUG